UACAUGGGGUGCAAACGUUGCUCGGAAUCAUUGGGCGUAAAGCGCGCGUAGGCGGUUGCUUAAGUCGGAUGUGAAAGCCCUCGGCUUAACUGAGGAAGUGCAUCCGCAACUGAGCAGCUAGAGUACGAAAGAGGGUCGCGGAAUUCCCGGUGUAGAGGUGAAAUUCGUAGAUAUCGGGAGGAACACCGGUGGGCGAAGGCGGGGUCUCUGGGCCGUAACUGACGCUGAGGAGCGAAAGCGUGGGGAGGC
rnacentral:rRNA from 1 species